GGGGCGGUAGCUCAGCCGGUCAGAGCAGCGGACUCAUAAUCCGUAGGUCGCGGGUUCAAGUCCCGCCCGCCCUACCA
rnacentral:tRNA from 1 species